CGGGGUGAGUAAUGUAUGGGGAUCUGCCUGAUGGCGGGGGAUAACUACUGGAAACGGUAGCUAAUACCGCAUAAUGUCUACGGACCAAAGCGGGGGACCUCCGGGCCUCGCGCCAUCAGAUGAACCCAUGUGGGAUUAGCUAGUAGGUGAGGUAACGGCUUACCUAGGCGACGAUCCCUAGCUGGUCUGAGAGGAUGAUCAGCCACACUGGGACUGAGACACGGCCCAG
rnacentral:rRNA from 1 species